rnacentral:lncRNA from 1 species
GUGCUACUGGCAUUUCAAUUUUUUUCGAUGAUGUGGCAAGGCUGGCAGCUGUCAGAUUAGAAAAUGGACAAAAUGUAAAAUUUCUGUGUGCGCUAGUAGAGAAACUGACGAAAGCUUGGAGCGUACGGGAAGUGUACUGCCGCAACAGCCUUUGUAAAUGGCAAUGCUUUUGUCAACAACUGCCUCUCGUUGGUAAAUAAGGAAGCAAUUGUGGAGUUCACUACCUUUCGCCGUAAAAACUUGCCCGCCAGACCACAUUCGUUCAUUAUUUUUACGAAACAUCAGGCCAUGCGAGAUGGAAUCGUAUCGGAAUGUUCAGAGUUCUGCUCGUGCUGUGUGAAUGUUUCUUGAUUCAAUACUUGCGAUUUUCCUCUUAAAUGAAUUAUAUUAAUUCAUUAAAUGAACCCCC